CAGCCAUCCAGAAAAUGUAAAGAAAAUCAACACAAUUACGCAGCAUUUAGCAGCUCAAGUAACUGCCCUUGGAAGUGAAAGCAGUACUGCAAAACUGGAGUCACCCCACAGCUGUGCUGGGAUCUGCUCUGCACCGCCUGUGAUGCCACUGACGGCUUUUAGAUAGAAGGAAGCUGAGGCUAAAGAGCAGAGAAUAUUUUUUGCCCCACAUUGUUCUCAGAGACUAUUUCUGGCACACAGGAAGGACUCGCAAAAUCACCAUCAAACUUAUUUUAGCUAAUUCCAUAGAUGACUUGAAGUAUUCCAGAGGUGUGUGUUAAGCCUCAGAGAACUGACGGCAAAUUUUGUUCCCUGGUUAGACACAGAAAUAAAAGUAUGACAAUCUAGGGGCUGCCUGGAAGUACUUUCUUAUAAACAGCUGGGAAAACAGCCUUCAAACGAUACAUGAGAAUAUUAACGGGAGUGGGUCCAAAUAUUGUAUUCUAAAAUGAACACUUUGAUAAUCAUAACAAUGUGGUUUGAAAAGCAUCACUUUAAAAGGUCAGCUAUACCACCCUCUGACUGCACAUUGAAAGCAUAGCGGAUAUAUUGAGUCAUACAUAUUGUUCAUUGUCAUUUGCAUUUGGUGAAAUCCCUGCAUUUUACCCAAUUUAGUAAGCAAGCACCGCCUCGGGCUCCCUUGGCAAUACUCACCUCUAAACACAGCUACUGUUUGUUGGGCUAAAACAACAUCUUGCACCAGUAAAUCACACUUCGGUCUUUUGAUCACUGUUUAUCUUUUCAAGCCUGUGAGUAGUUUUGCAUUGAUGGAAAGAGAAGGAGGGGCACACUAGAGCAAUGCGGGUAUUUUGAGCUUCACUUCUGGGAUACUUUUGUCCAUGUUGUUCUGAACAAAAUGACCAUCUGUAUCAGUUUGCAGACAGCCACGAGUGCAUCACAAAAUCUAACUUCAUAUUUGUGUGGAUAAAGACUGGCUCAAUUCUGCGAACAACGUGUAGCAUCAUUUGACAACGUGCUAUGAAAAGGCCUUACUGAAGUCAAGUACACUUUCUGAAUUCCAGCCUUUUUUUAAAACUCUCCUCAGGAUUUGACCUCAUGGCCAUUUCCUACCUAUCCACGGUAGGAACUGUUUGACUUUCCAAUAGUCAUGUGAGUGAUAUUUCCAACCAGAAUAUGGCGGAAGCUGUCCUCACCCUUCCGGGGGCUACACCUGAAGAGUAAGCAAAUUUUGUGGGUGUUUAAGCCUUUUUUUAUUUUCUAUGAGCAAUGUAAAAAUGACUCAUUUGUGCUUUGGAAUGUAUAGUUGGUAAACACCAGCAGGGAGCAAUUGUAUUUCUAGACUUGUAAAUAAAAACAGUCCGUACUGU